GAUUAAAUUCUGCCUCUAUUUUCCUUCUACUAUGCAACCUUCAGAAUGAAGCUUCACAGUUGCACUGAGAAAUCUGGCAGUUUAGUGUCGUUUACUUUCACAGAGGUACAAGACAUUCAAGGGAAGACUACUGGGCAUUAAAUGGACCAUAUAUAUGAAGAUAUGAAUCCACUCCAAGGGAUGCUUUAGUAAAGAGCCUAGAUGGUAAAGAACCCCAGAGAUGGGUCACAACAUUUUAUUGACACCCUGGACAGGAUCCUUUGCUGGUGCAGAGCACCUA